AUCUACAGCCAUGCCAUCCUGAACAAGCCCGAUCCUGUCUGAUCUUAGAAGCUAAGCAGGGUCGGGCCUGGUUAGUACUCAGAUGGGAGACCACCUAGGAAGACCAGGUGUUGUAGGCG
rnacentral:rRNA from 1 species